rnacentral:rRNA from 1 species
GACGAACGCUGGCGGCGUGCUUAACACAUGCAAGUCGAACGGAAAGGCCCUGCUUUUGUGGGGUGCUCGAGUGGCGAACGGGUGAGUAACACGUGAGUAACCUGCCCUUUACUUUGGGAUAACUUCAGGAAACUGGGGCUAAUACCUGAUAGGAGCUCCUGCUGCAUGGUGGGGGUUGGAAAGUUUCGGCGGUUGGGGAUGGACUCGCGGCUUAUCAGCUUGUUGGUGGGGUAGUGGCUUACCAAGGCUUUGACGGGUAGCCGGCCUGAGAGGAUGACCGGGAAAAUGGGAAAUGAGACAGGGACAAGAGGACUAAGGGAGGCAGCAGAGGGGAAGAGGGGACAAUGGGGGGAAGUAUGAUACAGUGAGGGGGAGUGGGUGAAGAAGGUCUGCGGAGUGGAAAGAAAGUGAAGGGGGGAGGAAGGGCAGUAAGUUAAGACCUGGAGGGUGGGACGGUACUAAGAGAAGAAGCACCGGAUAACUUCGCG